rnacentral:sRNA from 1 species
CAGGGUUUUUCAAAUCAAGAAUAUCUAAUAUACAGAAACAAUUUGGUAUAUGCAAUAACAGAAUUUCAGCUCAGAAUCAAACAACUAUUCAAACUAUUCAAUCAAAGAAACUAAUAUCAAGAGAAUGACUGCUAGUCAAUAUAAAUACUUUGAGAAAAAACAGAAUAAAUAAAAGAAAGACUAUCAAAACAUAUAGAAAAUAUUACUUACAGCAAAUAAAGGCAGAUAGCAUAAUCAAAAACACAAUAAAAUAUACACUUAAAACUAAAACUCAACUUCAAAACAAUCAAUAUAAAAUAUAAUAGAAGAAAAAUAUAAUAGAUAAAAAAUAAAAGAAAAAAUAAAAAUAAAAAUAAAAAAAUAAGGAAAAUUAAGCUUAAAAUUAAACAGAGUUUUGUAGCCA